UACGUAGGGACCGAGCGUUGUCCGGAAUCAUUGGGCGUAAAGGGUGCGUAGGUGGCAUGGUUAGUCGGGUGUGAAAUCCCGGGGCUCAACCCCGGAACUGCACUCGAUACUGCCGUGCUGGAGUACUGGAGAGGAGACUGGAAUUUACGGUGUAGCAGUGAAAUGCGUAGAUAUCGUAAGGAAGACCGGUGGCGAAAGCUAGUCUCUGGACAGUCACUGACACUGAGGCACGAAGGCUAGGGGAGCAAACGGG
rnacentral:rRNA from 1 species